UUUAAUUGAAGAGUUUGAUCAUGGCUCAGAUUGAACGCUGGCGGCAGGCCUAACACAUGCAAGUCGAACGGUAACAGGGAGCAGCUUGCUGCUCUGCUGACGA
rnacentral:rRNA from 1 species